AUUGAACGCUGGCGGCAGGCCUAACACAUGCAAGUCGAGCGAGCGGCGGACGGGUGAGUAAUGUAUGGGGACUGCUCUAUAGAUGGGGAUACUUACUGGAAACGGUGGCUAAUACCGCAUACUAUCGGAUAACCCAUAUGGGAUUAGCUAGUAGGUGGUGUAAAGGCUCACCUAGGCGACGAUCUCUAGCUGGUCUGAGAGGAUGAGCGGCAACACUGGGACUGAGACACGGCCCAGACUCCGACGGAGGCAGCAGUGGGGAAUAUUGCACAAUGGGCGCAAGCCUGAUGCAGCAAUGCCGCGUGUAUGAAGAAGGCCUUAGGGUUGUAAAAUACUUUCAGCGGGGAGGCGUUACCCGCAGAAGAAGCACCGGCUAACUCCGUGCCAGCAGCCGCGGUAAUAC
rnacentral:rRNA from 1 species